GAGAUUAUAUAUUACAAUUAGUAUUAGUGUUCUUAAAUGUCCCUAGUCGAGUAUCAUUGUUGAUGGGACAACAAUGAUGCAUUGAGACUAGUAUGCGGAUUGACUGAUGACCAAAUCUCAUUGGUCAUAAAUAUAUGAGAUAUUAAGUCAAUGCAUAGGUACAUGUUAGAGAACGAUGUACUGGACAGACCCACCAUGAGAAUUCUAUAUGGAGCAUUAUGCGAAGUGUCAUUAGCAAUUCUCAUAGUGACAAUGAUGUAAUGGUCCUCCGACCUGAAAUCGCUAUAUUACUACACGAGAAUUUAUGUACUUUGAUAUCAUCAAAUGUCACCUUUAAUAGGGUGGACUAUAAAGGUGAUUAUUGGGUUCAUCAUUAAUCG
rnacentral:lncRNA from 1 species